UCGCGUAUUUUCAAAGCCACUAAAGACAAAAGCUAAUUGCUGUAAUACAUAGAGUUAACAGGCUUGUAAACCUUUUUGUUACAUUUUUAUUGCAACUUUUGCCUUUUUCUUUAAUCAAUUAAUAAAUCUUUAAGUUGCGUAAGAAAUACAUAAAUGCCUUAGUGUUUCUGCGUGUAUAGUUGUGGUCUUGGUGAAAAUUAUUCUUGUACAUUAAGAACUUUCAAUUCACCGUCCAGUUGCACGGAGCACACAUUGAUGACACUAAUGAACUUCAAUUGCAUGGGAAGCAAACCCACCAAUAACGCACUUUCAUAUCGACUGCAGUCUAGACUCUAUACUCCCCAGAGUCAGCAUCUAAGUUUGUCUCAGACAUUUCGGCGUCGACGUUCGCAGAGAAGUUCGUGAUGUCGUUGUAAUAGUGAGCUAAACCCGCUUCACUUGAUGAGAAGUCAUAAACGAGUUGUUUGGCCCCUAAUGGGAUUGUUCUUAUUGCAUGUGUAAAACUUGUGAUGUUUUUCAAUAAAACAUUUAUGUAGAUGCUAAAAA